UAGGGAAUCUUCCGCAAUGGGCGAAAGCUUGACGGAGCAACGCCGCGUGAGUGAUGAAGGUCUUCGGAUCGUAAAACUCUGUUAUUAGGGAAGAACAAAUGUGUAAGUAACUAUGCACGUCUUGACGGUACCUAAUCAGAAAGCCACGGCUAACUACGUGCCAGCAGCCGCGGUACUACGUAGGUGGCAAGCGUUAUCCGGAAUUAUUGGGCGUAAAGCGCGCGUAGGCGGUUUUUUAAGUCUGAUGUGAAAGCCCACGGCUCAACCGUGGAGGGUCAUUGGAAACUGGAAAACUUGAGUGCAGAAGAGUAAAGUGGAAUUCCAUGUGUAGCGGUGAAAUGCGCAGAGAUAUGGAGGAACACCAGUGGCGAAGGCGACUUUCUGGUCUGUAACUGACGCUGAUGUGCGAAAGCGGGGGGAUCAAACAGG
rnacentral:rRNA from 1 species